rnacentral:tRNA from 1 species
UGGGGUGUGGCUCAGUGGUAGAGCACUUGCCUAGCAUGCAUGAGUCCCUAGGUUUGAUUCCCAGUAUNGCUC